rnacentral:rRNA from 1 species
GUGGGGAAUUUUACGCAAUGGGCGAAAGCCUGACGUAGCGACACCGCGUGAGCGAAGAAGCCCCUUGGGGUGUAAAGCUCUGUCAGCUGGAACGAAAAAAAUGACGGUACCAGCAGAGGAAGCAUCGGCUAACUACGUGCCAGCAGCCGCGGUAAGACGUAGGAUGCAAGCGUUGUCCGGAUUUAUUGGGCGUAAAGAGUUCGUAGGUGGUUUGUUAAGUUUGGUGUUAAAGAUUGGGGCUCAACCCUGAAACUGCACUGAAUACUGGCAGACUCGAGUGUGGUAGAGGCUAGUGGAAUUCCCAGUGUAGCGGUGAAAUGCGUAGAUAUUGGGAAGAACACCGGUGGCGUAGGCGACUAGCUGGGCCAUAACUGACACUGAGGAACGAAAGCCAGGGGAGCGAAUGGGAUUAGAAACCCCUGUAGUCC